rnacentral:rRNA from 1 species
UACAGAGGUCUCAAGCGUUGUUCGGAUUCAUUGGGCGUAAAGGGUGCGUAGGCGGCGCGGUAAGUCGGGUGUGAAAUCUCGGAGCUUAACUCCGAACUGCAUUCGAUACUGCCGUGCUUGAGGACUGGAGAGGAGACUGGAAUUACGGUGUAGCGGUGAAUGCGCAGAUAUCAGGAGGAACACCGGUGGCGAAGGCGGGUCUCUGGGCCGAUACUGACGCUGAGGAGCGAAAGCGUGGGAGCGAACAGG